rnacentral:rRNA from 1 species
UACGGAGGGUGCAAGCGUUAAGCGGAAUUACUGGGCGUAAAGCGUGCGCAGGCGGUUUGUUAAGUCUGCUGUGAAAUCCCCGAGCUCAACUUGGGAAUUGCAGUGGAUACUGGCAAGCUGGAGUACGGUAGAGGAAGGUGGAAUUCCCGGUGUAGCAGUGAAAUGCGUAGAGAUCGGGAGGAACACCAGUGGCGAAGGCGGCCUUCUGGACCAGUACUGACGCUCAUGCACGAAAGCGUGGGGAGCAAACAGG